CCUCGUAGAUUCUCUCGCCGACGCGACAUCCUAGGACAACCAACGAACAACAAUAAACUCGCAGUUGUUACAGAGCCAUAAAGGAAUCGUACGAUGCACUUACCGUUUCCCGCGAGCGAAGUGAUGGUCGUGGACGCAUGUGGAUCUAACGAAUUAAAUGGCGACGGGACAGCAGGAAUGAGGCGCGUAAAGCGGAGUGCAUCCAGGUAAGGGGAGAAGACACUUGGGCCUGACGCAUCUUCUGCUACCUGAUAUGCAAUAGCAAUACUCGCAUCUUCUAGCUCCCAUCAUGGCGGAUCCCGGACCAUACUUGACGCCCUCGUGGAGGCAACCUGAUACAAGAGUAUCGAUUAGUUCCAGUGCUGAUCCUCCUCAGAUCGUUAUCGGCCUCAUCUACAAGUAAAUUCCAGCCUCGAAGAAUAUUCCGUCCUCGUGGAAUGUUUAUAUCGUGUAUAAAUACAGGUAAGGACUAUAGCAUUGUGUACUAACUC